rnacentral:lncRNA from 12 species
AUGAUUUCUAUGAUUUUCGCCUUCCUGCUGAUGCUGUGUGUGACAGCUGGCAGAUGUGCACCACAUGGCACCCACACUGUGGACAAAAGCAGUUCAGAAACAUGCUCAAAUAUAAGGAUACAGGCUGACAGGAUAAUAGAAAUGUUAAACAUUGAAAAUUUCACACCUACUCCAAGCAGUACUAUCUCUUCUGAAAACACCUGUAGAGCGGCAAAGUGUGCAGUUUUACAGAAUCUUAGUAAUUACUUUAACUGUGACGUGCAAUUCCAGAAAGAUGGCAAUAAAAUCAAGAACGAAAUUCAUGGCCUAAUUGAUAACUUACAGAUGCUCAAAUGCUCAGAUGAAGAAAAAACAUGCAACUUUUCAAAUCCUUUGUGCCCUGAAGAAAUUCAACGAGCCUCUAUGUGGACCAAAACUAAAAUGUUUGUGGACCAGGUCAUUGGGGCGUGUUUACAUGUAAUGCAACAUGUGUGUCCUAAAUAG